AGCAUACAAGGCAUACGGCUCAGUAACGCGUAGUCAACCUAACCUAUGGACGGGAAUAACCUCGGGAAACUGAGAAUAAUGCCCGAUAGAACAUUAUGCCUGGAAUGGUUUAUGUUCCAAAUGAUUUAUCGCCGUAGGAUGGGACUGCGGCCUAUCAGUUUGUUGGUGAGGUAAUGGCCCACCAAGACUAUUACAGGUACGGGCUCUGAGAGGAGUAGCCCGGAGAUGGGUACUGAGACACGGACCCAGGCCCUAUGGGGCGCAGCAGGCGAGAAAACUUUGCAAUGUGCGAAAGCACGACAAGGUUAAUCCGAGUGGUUUCUGCUAAAGAAACCUUUUGUCAGUCCUAGAAACACUGAUGAAUAAGGGGUGGGCAAGUUCUGGUGUCAGCCGCCGCGGUAAAACCAGCACCUCAAGUGGUCAGGAUGAUUAUUGGGCCUAAAGCAUCCGUAGCCGGCUCUGUAAGUUUUCGGUUAAAUCUGUACACUCAACGUACAGGCUGCCGGGAAUACUGCAGAGCUAGGGAGUGGGAGAGGUAGACGGUACUCGGUAGGAAGGGGUAAGAUCCUUUGAUCUAUUGAUGACCACCUGUGGCGAAGGCGGUCUACCAGAACACGUCCGACGGUGGGGGAUGAAAGCUGGGGGAGCAAACCGGAUUAGAUACCCGGGUAGUCCCAGCUGUAAACUAUGCAAACUCAGUGAUGCAUUGGCUUGUGGCCAAUGCAGUGCUGCAGGGAAGCCGUUAAGUUUGCCGCCUGGGAAGUACGUACGCAAGUAUGAAACUUAAAGGAAUUGGCGGGGGAGCACCACAAGGGGUGAAGCCUGCGGUUCAAUUGGAGUCAACGCCGGG
rnacentral:rRNA from 1 species